rnacentral:rRNA from 1 species
UACGUAGGGUGCGAGCGUUAAUCGGAAUUACUGGGCGUAAAGCGUGCGCAGGCGGUUCGCAAAGUCUGAUGUGAAAGCCCCGGGCUCAACCUGGGAACUGCAUUGGAAACUAACGGGCUCGAGUGUGGCAGAGGGGGGUGGAAUUCCACGUGUAGCAGUGAAAUGCGUAGAGAUGCGGAGGAACACCGAUGGCGAAGGCAGCCCCCUGGGCUAACACUGACGCUCGAGGCACGAAAGCGUGGGGAGCAAACAGG